rnacentral:lncRNA from 1 species
GCAGACGAUAGACUCUUGGGUCUCAGAAGUAAGGCAUUGGGUUUACUCUCACAGCAUACAUCCCCAAGAGAACUCUUGGUUCAUGUGUUUGUUAUAUACUUUAUGAUAGUUUUACAGCAUGCAUAACUUCAGGAUACCGAAUAUUAAUUUAUGUCAACUGUAAUAGAAAAAAGAAGCUCACACUUUGCUCAUCUGCUAUAAUCCUAUUGUGAUCAUUCUUUGUACCCAAAGGUUGGUGCUGUGGUGUGACUGACUUUCAGCAUCCGCCCUUCCCUGGAGGGUGGUUCCUAGAAUACAAAGAUCUGACUUUUGACACCAGCUCCCCAGGCUGGAAAGUAAAACUCCACACGUUACAGAGAAGUUGGGACUAGCCACAUCUUCACUUCUCUCUGUGGAGACCUUUGACUUCUUCACAGUGACCCUAGAGAUGAGGGUGACACAUGUCCUCUCUGGGCGGGUUUCCUCUAGUGAAGCACAAUCCAGAACUGAGGUGGCAGCCAGGUUCAUUUGCAGUCCUCCUUUUGCACUUGUCAUUCAGAAAUGCCUCAAGUACAGACAAGGUUGUAGGGACAGAAGUGCUGCAUGCAUUCCCUUCUCUGCCAGUGGAUUUGUAGCCUAAGGAGGCCAUGAGCGCCCCAGAGACCAUGGCGGGGCUUUUUUUUUUUUCCUGCACCUUGAGCAAACUAACUGUUCUUAGAUGGAAAAACAGAGUUGUUUUGUAAAUAUAAUGUAUAGAAAAGGCUAGUCAGCACAUUUUUAAAUCUUAGCUUUGUUACUAUGAUUGCUAAGUACUAAGUAAUACCUAAAAUAAAAACCCCUGAAUAUCUGUUC